AUUGAACGCUGGCGGCAGGCCUAACACAUGCAAGUCGAGCGGCAGCGGGAAAGUAGCUUGCUACUUUUGCCGGCGAGCGGCGGACGGGUGAGUAAUGCCUGGGAAAUUGCCCAGUCGAGGGGGAUAACAGUUGGAAACGACUGCUAAUACCGCAUACGCCCUACGGGGGAAAGCAGGGGACCUUCGGGCCUUGCGCGAUUGGAUAUGCCCAGGUGGGAUUAGCUAGUUGGUGAGGUAAUGGCUCACCAAGGCGACGAUCCCUAGCUGGUCUGGGAGGAUGGUCAGCCACACUGGAACGGAGACACGGUCCAGACUCCUACGGGAGGCAGCAGUGGGGAAUAUUGCACAAUGGGGGAAACCCUGAUGCAGCCAUGCCGCGUGUGUGAAGAAGGCCUUCGGGUUGUAAAGCACUUUCAGCGAGGAGGAAAGGUUGAUGCCUAAUACGUAUCAACUGUGACGUUACUCGCAGAAGAAGCACCGGCUAACUCCGUGCCAGCAGCCGCCGUAAGAC
rnacentral:rRNA from 1 species